GAAUAUUGGACAAUUGGCGCAAGCCUGAUCCAGCCAUGCCGCGUGUGUGAAGAAGGCCUUCGGGUUGUAAAGCACUUUUGUACGGGAAGAAACCUUCCGGGUUAAUACCCUGGGAGAAUGACGGUACCGUAAGAAUAAGCACCGGCUAACUUCGUGCCAGCAGCCGCGGUGAUACGAAGGGUGCAAGCGUUACUCGGAAUUACUGGGCGUAAAGCGUGCGUAGGUGGUUCGUUAAGUCUGCCGUGAAAGCCCCGGGCUCAACCUGGGAAUUGCGGUGGAUACUGGCGGACUAGAGUGCGGUAGAGGGUGGUGGAAUUCCCGGUGUAGCAGUGAAAUGCGUAGAGAUCGGGAGGAACAUCUGUGGCGAAGGCGGCCACCUGGACCAGCACUGACACUGAGGCACGAAAGCGUGGGGGAGCAAACAGG
rnacentral:rRNA from 1 species